AAGCAGAAUUCGUUACUGCCUGCGUACGAAUGCUUGAGUAUCUAUGGGAGGAGAAAAGCUCACCUGCUUAUGCCAUCUGGUACUAUGUUUGAUAUGGAGUUGAGAAGCAUGAUUGGUGUGAAGGUUUCCGAGCUUGCAGAAGCACCAUCUCGGACUAUGGUGCAUGGCUGUGAUGUGACAAAUUUCUGCACAUCCCGUUCUCGUGACCCAAGCCAAGCUGUGCUGAUAAUGGCUCAGGAGAGAUUUGGAGGCUGCAUUAAACUAACAUAGCCCUGGCCAGAUGUACCUUUCCAGGUAAACACCAUACUGAGCAUAUAAAGCAAAUGAUCCCUGGAAAUG
rnacentral:lncRNA from 1 species